rnacentral:rRNA from 1 species
UGGGGAAUUUUGGACAAUGGGCGAAAGCCUGAUCCAGCAAUGCCGCGUGUGUGAAGAAGGCCUUCGGGUUGUAAAGCACUUUUGUCCGGAAAGAAAUCCUCUGGGUUAAUACCUCGGGGGGAGUGACGGUACCGGAAGAAUAAGCACCGGCUAACUACGUGCCAGCAGCCGCGGUAAUACGUAGGGUGCAAGCGUUAAUCGGAAUUACUGGGCGUAAAGCGUGCGCAGGCGGUUUUGUAAGACGGAUGUGAAAUCCCCGGGCUUAACCUGGGAACUGCAUUCGUGACUGCAAGGCUAGAGUAUGGCAGAGGGGGGUAGAAUUCCACGUGUAGCAGUGAAAUGCGUAGAGAUGUGGAGGAAUACCGAUGGCGAAGGCAGCCCCCUGGGCCAAGUACUGACGCUCAUGCACGAAAGCGUGGGGAGCAAAACAGGAUUUAGAUACCCCUGGUAGUCCACGCCCUAAAACGAUGUCAACUAGUUGUUGGGGGAUUCAUUUCCUUAGUAACGUAGCUAACGCGUGAAGUUGACCGCCUGGGGGAGUACGGUCGCAAGA